GAUGAAGAACGCAGCGAAAUGCGAUACAUAAUGUGAAUUGCAGAAUUCAGUGAAUCAUCGAAUCUUUGAACGCAUAUUGCGCUCUCUGGUAUUCCGGAGAGCAUGCUUGUUUGAGUAUCAGUAAACACCUCAACUUCCAUAUCUUUUUUGAAAUGGGAGUUGGACUUGAGUGAUCCCAACGCUUUUCCUCACCGAAAAGUGGCGGGUUACUUGAAAUGCAGGUGCAGCUGGACUUUUCUCUGAGCUAUAAGCAUAUCUAUUUAGUCUGCCUAAAAAACAGAUUAUUACCUUUGCUGCAGCUAACAUAAAGGAGAUUAGUUCUUGUGCUGACUGAUGCAGGAUUCACAAAGACGGCUUCGGCCGACUUUGUAAACUCGAUCUCAAAUCAAGUAAGACUACCCGCUGAACUUAAGCAUAUCAAUAAGCGGAGGA
rnacentral:misc_RNA from 1 species